rnacentral:lncRNA from 1 species
UUUAGAGUAAACUGGAGCUUUCAAUGAUUUGGGGGAUAGGGCUGACCCGACCCUAAUUCAGUCUUAACCCACUUUCUGGGGGCUGUGGGGGCUUGGGGCUUUGAAAAAGCCCCCUCUAAUGUGGGUCAAAAAUAGUGGGCUAAUUAAGAAGGGGGUCAGGGUUGGCCUUAGGGCCAAAAAAAACGUUUACAGCUCUAGUUGUUGGGUUUUCUUCUACAAAAGAGAAAGAAAAAAAAGGGAGAAAAAAAAAAGAGAAAGAUGAAGGGUAGUGACCAAGGAGGAAAGAAGGCAGGAAGAAAGAAUACAUUUUAAUUCUUUAUUUAAAUAGCAUUUCGUAAGGGUAAAAGAGGGAUUUUAAAAGUUUGCUGGUGUAGAAAAAUGGAUGGUGCAGGAAGAAAUCGCCAUGGGUGAUUUGUGGACUCUGGUUUAUUCUAUCUUCGGAAACUGCUUUUUAUACUCCAUAAUGUCCUACUGCAAUUCCAUGAGAAUGUGUAAAAGACAAAAUUGCCCUACU